UUUCCGUAGGUGAACCUGCGGAAGGAUCAUUAAUGAGAACUUGCCCUUCGGGGUAGAUCUCCCACCCUUUGUUUACAUUACCUUUGUUGCUUUGACGGGCCCGUCCCUCGGGACCGCCGGCUCCGGCUGGCCCGUGCCCGUCAGAGGAUCUUAAAACUCUAUUUUAAUGUCGUCUGAGUACUAUAUAAUAGUUAAAACUUUCAACAACGGAUCUCUUGGUUCUGGCAUCGAUGAAGAACGCAGC
rnacentral:misc_RNA from 1 species